AAUGAACGCUGGCGGCAGGCCUAAAACAUGCAAGUCGAACGCCCUAGCAAUAGGGAGUGGCGCACGGGUGAGUAACAUGUGGGAAUAUGCCUUUUGGUACGGAACAACGUUUGGAAACGAACACUAAUACCGUAUGGUCCCUCCGGGGUAAAGAUUUAUCGCCAAAAGAUUAGCCCGCACUAGAUUAGCUAGUUGGUAAGGUAAUGGCUUACCAAGGCGACGAUCUAUAGCUGUUCUGAGAGGAAGAUCAGCCACACUGGGACUGAGACACGGCCCAGACUUCUACGGGAGGCAGCAGUUAGGAAUAUUGGACAAUGGGCGCAAGCCUGAUCCAGCCAUGCCGCGUGAGUGAUGAAGGCCUUCGGGUUGUAAAGCUCUUUAGCCGACGAAUAUAAUGACUGUAGUCGAAGAAUAAGCCCCGGCUAACUUCGUGCCAGCCGCCGCGGUAAAAC
rnacentral:rRNA from 1 species